CAUAAUUCUGCUCUCUGGCUUGACUUACCUUUGCAUGUGAAACAUUUAAUGUGGAAGUAGGUGCUCUGCACGCGCAGCGCCUCUCCUUUGCACAGUCCUCCACAUCUGAAGCACUGGAUGGGCUGUUUUACUGCUGGAGGACUUUGCUGGCAGCUGUCUGGGGCAUGCAGCACUGCAGGAGCAGAAGAUCUCUAACUCUACUCUGACAAAUCCCAUCAAUCGAAGGACAAGUCGUCCCUCCUGACUGUUUGAAUUGAGGAUAUAAACUCUCACUAUGGCUCAGCCAGCAGCAGGACCAUAGGAGGCCUUUAUAAUCUAAUCAGUCCACUCUGAAAAGACCUCAGUGUGAUUAGCAGCAGAGAGAGGAGGAAAGAAUGCGGUGCAUGAGGAGGCAUCCGGCUUGAAAGUGUGGACAUCAAGAGCUUGCAGAUAAGGACACUUUACAUUUUUCUAUUGCAAACCCCACAUAAAUGUCUUCCUCGGGUAUAAUUCACUAACAGUAUCAGUGCAAAAUAAACCACUCCAUCUGUAUUUGUCUUCAAACAAAUACAAACUAAGUUGUUGCAUAAAGUAGAAAUGUUUCCAGAACAGUUCGACUCUGCUUGCAUUGCUGAAUUUGGUGCAGGACCCCUUCGUCUGCCCGGCAACAAGGAUGCAGUGCAAACUGCUUCUAAUAGAAAGUUUUCUGUGAGGGGAGAUUUAUUUUUAAAAUCUUCAAAGUCUGAAACAGCAACUUAUCACUUUUUACUGUAGAGCUGCACAUUUUGAAGAUAGCAAGAGAACUUUGAUUGCAAGUCUUGUGUUGAAGACUUCAUACGAUCCAAGCAGGCAGCAGCUCUUUAUUCAUGGCUUCAGACCGUGAAGCUGAUCCGGUGUCAGGUAUUAACAAAUGUUCAAUUUAGAAAGACGACAAAUGGAGAGAAACCCGAUAGGAGUUGCCUAAUCGGCUAUAAACAUCAACACAUAUGUGUGCCUCAGGAGGGAAGGUGUCUCUACUUUUUAUUUUGGGAAUCUUCUCUAUGUUCAUCAAAUAUUUUGACUUAAAUAUUUGCAAAAGUAUUCACACGUGAAAGGCCAAACUCUGAAAACUGCACCAUGCAUUUAUGUCCACCUCAAUUUACUAUGUUACCCAUCGAUAACCAACAUCUAUUUAAAGCAAACUAAUUCUAGAUUAAAAGUAUACCCACUAUUCUAAGCAAAUAUUUGUUCAGUCAAAUAGAGAGCAUUUGUGAAGCUUGUUUUUUUAUGCCUCAAAGUUUUAGUUGGGUUUAGAUUUGGACUCUCACUAGCCCUUUC